rnacentral:misc_RNA from 1 species
AAAAAAAAAAAAGAGAGAGAGAAAAAGGUAAAAAGGAAAAAUGAAUUUACAGCGUGGUAUUUUAAAGGAAGCUUGUCUGUGUGGAGUGGGGGAGCCGUUACGUUACCGUUUUUCACCUCGCUAAUCAAAAGUUACCACGACUGGCUCGUAAUUUACCGUUGAAAAAAAAAACCGUACAACUGAGAAAGAAAUAUGGAAAUCGGAGCUGACCCUGUGCUGCACCUGCAUCAAUCAUCAUAAGG